rnacentral:rRNA from 1 species
CACAAGCGGAGGAGCAUGUGGUUUAAUUCGAUGAUACGCGAGGAACCUUACCUGGGCUCGAACGUAAGAUGACUGUAGGUGAAAGCUUACAUCUCUUCGGAGCAUUUUACGAGGUGCUGCAUGGUUGUCGUCAGCUCGUGCCGUGAGGUGUCGGGUUAAGUCCCAUAACGAGCGCAACCCCUACCUUUAGUUGCCAUCAGGUCAAGCUGGGGACUCUAAUGAAACUGCCUACGCAAGUAGUGAGGAAGGUGGGGAUGACGUCAAAUCAGCACGGCCCUUACGUCCAGGGCUACACACGUGCUACAAUGGCCGAUACAGAGGGCAGCUACCUGGUGACAGGAUGCAAAUCUCCAAAGUCGGUCUCAGUUCGGAUCGGAGUCUGCAACCCGACUCCGUGAAGUUGGAUUCGCUAGUAAUCGCGCAUCAGCCAUGGCGCGGUGAAUACGUUCCCGGGCCUU